AUUGAACGCUGGCGGCGUGCCUAACACAUGCAAGUCGAGCGGUAACAGGUGUAGCAAUACAUGCUGACGAGCGGCGGACGGGUGAGUAACGCUUGGGAAUCUGCCUAUUAGUGGGGGACAACCCGGGGAAACUCGGGCUAAUACCGCAUACGCUCUACGGAGGAAAGCCGGGGACCGCAAGGCCUGGCGCUAAUAGAUGAGCCCAAGUCGGAUUAGCUAGUUGGUAGGGUAAUGGCCUACCAAGGCGACGAUCCGUAACUGGUCUGAGAGGACGACCAGUCACACCGGAACUGAGACACGGUCCGGACUCCUACGGGAGGCAGCAGUGGGGAAUAUUGGACAAUGGGCGAAAGCCUGAUCCAGCGACGCCGCGUGGGUGAAGAAGGCCUGCGGGUUGUAAA
rnacentral:rRNA from 1 species